AGGAGGAGGAAGAGGAGGAGGAGCAGGAGGAGGAGGAGGAGAAGGAGGAGGAGGAGCAGGAGGAGGAGGAAAGUAUUUGUGGCAUUAAAGAGAUACCUUGGCAGUGAAGAAUAAUUGCUGCUCUAGAGGAAGAUAUGGGUUGAGUUCCCAGCAUCACAUUGUAUCUCGCAAUCAUCCCUGAUCCCAGUUUUAAGGGAUCUGAUGCUCAGCUCUGACCUACAAGCUCAACAGGCUCAAAUCCAUCUCUCUGCAUUCAGGCAAACAGCAAUGCACAUAAAAUAAAAUGAACCAUUUUAAAAGUUAAAGUGAUUGUGAUAGCAAUAUUUUAAGAUCGCUCAUCCUGAUGCCCACUCCACACUAUGCAUGCUCUUGUGGAUUCUCUUACAGCUGUGCUUCUCAGCAACAAAAUCUGUCAAAAGGUGAAAUGAUGUCCUUUAUACUUUAACAAAAGGCUUUCUCAAAGGUGCUUUUGAUGGAGUAAGCUUCCAUGUUGUACAGAUCCCACCACAAGGAACUGAAGAUCAUCUUUGGCGAACAGCCAGAGAACUUCAACUCUUCCUGUAACUGCCUGUGGCACGGGCCCUGUGGCAUGAGAUGGCUCUGUGAAUAAAGGCACUUGCAACAAACUUGAAGACCUGAGUUCCAUCCCAUUUGGCGGAAGCAGAAAAAGGGCUCACCGAUGUUUUCCUCUGACCCACACAUGUGUUUGUACACAUGUGUGUACUAUAUAAGGAAAUGGGACAGCAAUCAAGAAAAGUAGCCAGUUAAUCGAAGCAUCACAUGACUAGCUGACUGUCCAGCCUCUCCCCAGCUUAUUGCUUCUGGUCCAAGAGUCUGCUGCUGCUGAAGAGCGAAAUUUCAGGGACAAAAUUAGGAAAAAUCUUAACACAGCUGCAUUAUAAUUUUUCCCUAAGCCAAUAUUUUGCUGCAAAGAAAGGACAAAUCCCUGGGUGCAUUUUUCUAAGACUGUAGUUAAGAACUGUGUUCUGUUUGAAGUUGCUCAAAGCUCCUGAGGAUGUUCUAGAAGAAUAAUUUGUGGUUGAUUAAUUUUAGGGAGGAACAUACCCACAUCUGCAUAAAAACAUGUCAUGUAAAAUAAAUAAAAUAAAGCUAUAAUAUAUAUAAUAAGAGGUCACUAACAGUUCUCUGGUGUGUUGGCAAAUCCUUGAUAUGUGGCAAGAUGUUACAUCUCCCAUUCCUUCUUUUUGUAAACUAACAUCAGUUAAUAACUCUCAUUAUUGGUCUGGUCUUAGUAGGUCAGAAAAAAAGCCAACAGCUUGAGACUAAAAAUGAAAUGGAAAGAAUCUUUUGAGAACAGCAAAAUCUAAAGCCCACAAAAACUGGAAAGUAUUUCAUAGAUUGAGAAUGGACCAAUCAAAUCAAAUUAUUCAUCAGAGAUAUUCCAGGAAGUGUAGACAGACUGUUUGACAAAGUCAUGCAAAGGGGGGGGUGGUGCACAGGACCUCAGGCUGUAGCUAGAAGAACAUCCUGUGGUAGUAAGAAAGCUCAAGGUAAUUCACUCCAGAUGUCUGACAUUCAUUGUUGCCUUUAAUGAUCUGUGCUUCAAAUAAACAAAGUACAUGCACUAUGAUAUUAAUUCAUUAAGGGCACUAAUUUCUAUCUAUUUUGUUGUCUGGUGUACUAAAACCUUGAAGAUAGACACAUGGUCGGCUCUUAAAUAUUUCUAUUCAGUAAAUAAAGCCAAUAGAAUUCUCAUCUAAAAUAUAAUGUAUGUGAUAUCUAUCUAUCUAUCUAUCUAUCUAUCUAUCUAUCUAUCUAUCUAUCUAACUUUUCCAUUCCCUUUAUUCCCUCCAACCACUCCCAUGUUUGCCCCUCAUACCCUAGCAAACUAAUAGCAUCUUUUUCGUUGAUUAAAAUUUUUACACACACACACAUACAUACAAACACAUAAAUAACCCCCUGAGUCAGUAAUUCUUCCAUGUCUGUAUAUGAUUUCAUGGCUCACCACUUUGUAUUCAAAAAAUAAUUAGGAAUUCAGACCU